rnacentral:rRNA from 1 species
CCUACGGGCGGCAGCAGUGAGGAAUAUUGGUCAAUGGACGAGAGUCUGAACCAGCCAAGUAGCGUGCAGGAUGACUGCCCUAUGGGUUGUAAACUUCUUUUAUAUGGGAAUAAAACGUUCCACGUGUGGGAUUUUGUAUGUACCAUAUGAAUAAGGAUCGGCUAACUCCGUGCCAGCAGCCGCGGUAAUACGGAGGAUCCGAGCGUUAUCCGGAUUUAUUGGGUUUAAAGGGUGCGUAGGUGGAUUGUUAAGUCAGUUGUGAAAGUUUGCGGCUCAACCGUAAAAUUGCAGUUGAAACUGGCAGUCUUGAGUACAGUAGAGGUGGGCGGAAUGCGUGGUGUAGCGGUGAAAUGCUUAGAUAUCACGAAGAACUCCGAUUGCGAAGGCAGUUCACUGGACUGCAACUGACAUUGAGGCUCGAAAGUGUGGGUAUCAAACAGGAUUAGAUACCCCUGUAGUC